GGAAGGGAAAAAUUGAAGGAAAAGAAAUGAGCAUUUCCCGUUAGAUCAUUUGUUAAAUUUCUUUGACAGGAAGCAGAAAAAGAAGAGGAUGAGGAAGCUGAAGUUUGGAAAAUUCAAGUAAAUCGCCAAAACCCUUCUGCCGAGAAUCGCUCCAAAGCGACCAAGCAGGCGAUAUACCCCCGGAUGCGUUAUCAGGCAACAGUCUAACUGGCUCUGACACCUGCGAGGCCCACCUAAGGCCUUCCGAGCUCCUCUGCUACUCGAUGCCUCCCAGCCUGUGGAAGAAGACUACAGGGAAGAGAAAAAUUACGGGGCUACGAGAUCAUAAGCAAUACAGGUAACGGGGAGUGGUGAGGCUUUCCCCUUCAUGUUCCCGAGAGGGCUGACAAGCAUAUACUCCCAUCCCUAAAACAAAU
rnacentral:lncRNA from 1 species